rnacentral:rRNA from 1 species
AUGGACCGUGAAUCCUGUACAAGUCGCAUCAACGUCCUGGAGAGGCUUCUACUUGAUGAAAGUGCAGAACCCACAAACCUGCCGUUGUCCCUUCUACAAGACAUCACAAACCAUUUCUCUCUUGAUCACCAAAUUGGCAGUGGCGGGUUUGCGAUGGUUUAUAAGGGAGCAGUCGGGAAAGGUAUGGUCGCUGUGAAGAAGCUGUCAAACACGUUUGCUAUUCAAGAGAAUAAAUUCCAUGAAGAGGUUAAGUGCCUGAUAAAGGCCAAGCACAAGAAUAUUGUACGGUUUCUGGGGUAUUGCUCUGAAACAAAAGGUAAGAUGGAAGAGUACGAGGGGAAUCUUGUCAUGGCAGAUCAGCGGAACUGUCUGCUCUGUUUUGAGUACUUAUGCAAUGGGAGUCUUGAUAAGCACAUUACUGAUUCAACUUGUGGACUUACUUGGACGGAGCGGUAUCAAAUAAUCAGGGGGAUAUCUGACGGUCUACUUUUUCUCCACAAGAAGAGAAUUCUUCACUUGGACCUGAAGCCUGCUAAUAUAUUACUAGAUGCUUACAUGGUACCCAAAAUUGCCGAUUUCGGCCUGUCAAGAUGCCUUGGUGAAGAACAAACCCGUUCUAUUACUCAAAACCUACAGGGGACACUGGGAUACAUGGAUCCGGAGUACCUCAGAUCAAGACAUAUCACAUUCUUGUCAGACAUAUACAGUCUUGGUGUUAUAAUAAUGGAGAUACUGAAAGGAGUGAGGCAGUAUCUUGAAGAUGAAUAUGUAGUUGAAAAUUGGAUGAUUCGGUUGGAGGCAUCAGAGGGGGACAUGCAGUUGGAACAAGUAAGAGUAUGCUAUAAGAUAGCGAUAGAGUGCAUGGACUUGGACCCAAAGAAGAGGCCAACUGCACGGCAUAUAGUCAAUAUGCUUGAUAAAACGGCAAGUGCUAGCUAUUCAGACGGAACUAGCAUUGGCAGUUCAUUAUUUGAGCUGCAUGUACCAAGAGAACAAUCUGGAGAAAAAAUUGAAAAACCCUCAGCCGAGAGCCUCCAGGAGGAACACUCUGAAAUAUUGGAAGAUGUCACAGAAAGUAUUGACCUUCAUUUUCAGGAAGGCCAACGGAAAGUAGACGAAUUACCGUUUUGUGGAGUGCAAGAGAUGAAGCAAAAGGUUUACUGUCAUGGCAGGGCCAUUUCUAGCUCUAUCUCUAAUGUGUUCUACAACUUGGAAAAUUUGGACAUCUUCAACAGAAAAGCAAACAGGGACCAUCCUCGCCCAUUAGAAAUAUCACAUACUGUAAAGGUUUUCAGAAAUGAGGAGCUCAAGCCAAUAAUAAGGGGUAUCAAUUUUAUUGGAAGAGGUGGCUUUGCUGAAGUUUACAAGGGCGUCACAUUGACAAUGCAUUGGUUGCGGUAA